AACGCGAAGAACCUUACCUAGACUUGACAUUUCCGGCAAAGCUAUAGAAAUAUAGUGGAGGUUACCCGGGUGACAGGUGGUGCAUGGUUGUCGUCAGCUCGUGUCGUGAGAUGUUCGGUUAAGUCCGCUAACGAGCGCAACCCUUAUCCUUAGUUGCUAACAUUAAGUUGAGAACCCUAAGGAGACUGCCGGUGACAAACCGGAGGAAGGUGGGGAUGACGUCAAAUCAUCAUGCCCCUUACGUCUAGGGCUACAGGCGUGCUACAAUGGCUGGUACAACGAGUCGCAACAUGGUGACAUGAAGCUAAUCUCUAAAAGCCAGUCCCAGUUCGGAUUGGAGUCUGCAACUCGACUCCAUGAAGUUGGAAUCGCUAGUAAUCGCGAAUCAGAAUGUCGUGGUGAAUACGUUCCCGGGUCUUGUACACACGC
rnacentral:rRNA from 1 species